rnacentral:misc_RNA from 1 species
UUGAACAUACGAGGAGGUAUUCCUUCCUGUUUAGAGCUUGCUGAGGUUGCAGCAUUUGAAUUAUCAUCUUUCUCCACUGCUGGAACUGAGUAUUUACCAGAUAGCAUACCAUGUGCCAGUUUGGUUAACUGCAUAUUUAAGUCUACAGUUGGAUCGGCAGGAGCCAUCUCAAAUGCCACUUUCAAGCUCAGGUUCAUAUAAUAUCGUGAAUAGAAAGAACGUGUUGAGAACACAACUUGCAUUGCAGCUGCCAUGUAGCAACUGUUUCCAAGAUUCACAAGACCUGUAUAACCUGGUCCAAAAAUUGGCUCCAGUUCCUCUCCACUUUCUUGUAUUCGGUUCCAAUCAAAGUUGAUAUUCUGGUCAAGUUCCCUUUCAGCAGUUGUCAUUUCAGUCUUCUGUAGUGAUGAAAAAUCAAUGCCAAAAAAUGCCAGAUGCUGUGCUAAAAGUGGAUCCAAAACACUAUCAUCCUCUGGAUAAGAGAAAACAUCUGCUGCUUCCAGAUCAGCAGUAAUCGUCCCAAGUUUU